rnacentral:lncRNA from 1 species
CUCUAUUCUCUCAGGGCUUGUAUGCUGCUCAUGUGCCUGAAUGCUUCUGCCCCAUAGUAAAGCUGGACGCUGUACAGAUGGAGCAGCCCUGCCGCCCUUGGGGAAGGCACGUUCUCAGAAGCCGGCAUCCAUACGGUCAUCCUGAACUGCCAAGUUCACUGCCUGCUGGAUUUCAUGAUACAUCUGAUAGUUUCAUGAAGACAGUUUCAAUGCCACCCCUCAUGUGUGGAAUCUAGAAAAGAAAAACACAUGAAAGUAG